rnacentral:misc_RNA from 1 species
GAUGAAGAACGUAGCGAAAUGCGAUAAAUAAUGUGAAUUGCAGAAUUCCGUGAAUCAUCGAGUCUUUGAACGCACAUUGCACUCCUUGGUAUUCCGAGGAGUACGCCUGUUCGAGCGUCAUUACACUCUCAAGCGCUGCUUGGAUUUGAAUCACCGCCGUGGCAGGAUUCCAAUAUCGUUGGCAAUUGACCAUCUGUGAUGACUCACGCCGAGUUAAUUCGCCGGAACACUUCCUUUCAGUUGACCUCGGAUCAGGCGGGGAUACCCGCUGAACUUAAGCAUAUCAAUAAGCGGAGGA